rnacentral:tmRNA from 1 species
GGGGAUGUAUUGUUUCGACAGGAUAGCACAUUAAAAACUGCAAGCCGAAUACGAUUCUAAAGUGCGUAGUCUUUGAAUCAAACUUAAGUGCAAAAAACAUAUUUGCACGACUGGCCUCCCUUUUUAGGGUUGCGCCGGUAGCUCCAGUAUUUGCCUAAAAACAAAGCUUGAGCUUGUCUCUUGGGCUUUUUCUCGGUGAGGCUUUCGAGGCACAAACUUAGCCGAGAGUAGGUCUUCAGCCUUGAUCAGGCUUCAGACUGAAACUGCCGAUCUUUGCGCUGGUUUCACCUGUCAAUCGGUUAAAGACUUGCGCGAGAACUAAAAGAUUGACCAAGCUUGUAGAUGUUUUUGAUUAGUUGUUCUGGACGCCGAGUCACACUCGGCCAUCUCCACAC